rnacentral:rRNA from 1 species
GACGAACGCUGGCGGCGUGCCUAAUACAUGCAAGUAGGACGCAGUUGCGAACGGGUGAGUAACGCGUCGGUAACUGCCUAUUAGAGGGGGAUAACUAUUGGAAACGAUAGCUAAUACCGCAUACUAGUAGAUGGACCUGCGUUGUAUUAGCUAGUAGGUAGGGUAAUGGCCUACCUAGGCGACGAUACAUAGGCGACCUGAGCGGGUGGACGGCCACACUGGGACUGAGAAACGGCCCAGACUCCGACGGGAGGCAGCAGGAGGGAAGCUGCGGCAAUGGGGGGAACCCUGACCGAGCAACGCCGGGUGAGUGAAGAAGGUUUUCGGAUCGGAAAGCUCUGUUGUUAAGGAAGCGGUACUUAACCAGAAAGGGACGGCUAACUACGUGCCAGCAGCCGCGGUAAUAC